rnacentral:rRNA from 1 species
CCCUAAACGAUGUCAACUAGCUGUUGGGCCCUUCGGGGCUUAGUAGCGUAGCUAACGCGUGAAGUUGACCGCCUGGGGAGUACGGUCGCAAGAUUAAAACUCAAAGGAAUUGACGGGGACCCGCACAAGCGGUGGAUGAUGUGGAUUAAUUCGAUGCAACGCGAAAAACCUUACCUACCCUUGACAUGUCUGGAAUCCUUUAGAGAUAGAGGAGUGCUCGCAAGAGAACCGGAACACAGGUGCUGCAUGGCUGUCGUCAGCUCGUGUCGUGAGAUGUUGGGUUAAGUCCCGCAACGAGCGCAACCCUUGUCAUUAGUUGCUACCAUUUAGUUGAGCACUCUAAUGAGACUGCCGGUGACAAACCGGAGGAAGGUGGGGAUGACGUCAAGUCCUCAUGGCCCUUAUGGGUAGGGCUUCACACGUCAUACAAUGGUCGGGACAGAGGGUUGCCAAACCGCAAGGUGGAGCCAAUCUCAGAAACCCGAUCGUAGUCCGGAUUGCAGGCUGCAACUCGCCUGCAUGAAGUCGGAAUCGCUAGUAAUCGCGGAUCA